UACAGAGGGUACCGGUACAGAGUUAAUGUGGAGGCUAUAUACAGAGGGUACCAGUACAGAGUCAAUGUGGAGGCUAUAUACAGAGGGUACCGGUACAGAGUCAAUGUGGAGGCUAUAUACAGAGGGUACCGGUACAGAGUCAAUGUGGAGGCUAUAUACAGGGGGUACCGGUACAGAGUCAAUGUGGAGGCUAUAUACAGAGGGUACCAGUACAGAGUCAAUGUGGAGGCUAUAUACAGAGGGUACCGGUACAGAGGGUACCGGUACAGAGUCAAUGUGGAGGCUAUAUACAGGGUGUUACGGUACAGAGUCAAUGUGGAGGCUAUAUACAGGGGGUACCGGUACAGAGUCAAUGUGG
ensembl:lncRNA